CUAAUACAUAGUCUCUCUAAAUAUCAAUCUACAACCAGUCUCUAAGAUGCAAUCAGUCAGUUACACGCUGAUGCCCUUGUUUACUGUUUGUCAGGCUUAAAUGCUCUUCCAAUUGGCAAAUACUUUGAGGCUAACUCUUCUCCUUUAAGGAGGUGUCUGGUUACCUCAGUAUCUCUGUACAGUGACUGAAAGAUCCAGACCCAAGGAUUUGACCUUCUGAGCAGACCUGGAUGACAUCCAUGUAAUUGUACCAAAUGCCAUCUGCCCUGUUUGUUCUUGUCCCAGACUCCCAAAGUCCUUGGCUCUUGCUGUUAUUAGGGAAUGAAAAUCAUCAUCACGGAUGUUGCACUAUGGAUGAGGUGUUGGAAGCGAGACCUUUUUUGAUUCACCUUAAAAUGACACGGUAAGAAACUGUUACGUCUACUAUGCAACAUUACUGUGUAAUUCUACUGUUUACUAUACAGUCAUCAGGACUAAAGUAUUGUCUUAUACAACCGUGGCUGAGCUGUAAAUAGGCUCCUCGUAACGUGUGCAGCAUUGAAAGGGUUGCGUUCAGGCACGAGAAUGAAUACUCGCCUAAUGUUUUCAGCAAUCAGAAAGUCAUGCUCCCAAAAUAAAAGAAAACGCUGUGCAAACAUGCUGCUUGUCAAGAGCUCAUUAAAGCAGAGAGGGGUUUAUAAUGCAGCAGAGACAUAGUAAAUCACUCUAUCCCCUGAAGCCCUGUUAGAAAGCCAGCCUUUUUUAGCCGUGUUUGCCCUCUUAUGAGUUAAUGUGCCACACCUCUAACCCACUGCUGUCAGACCUGCUGCCACAUUACCUCUGAAAGCAGCUAUUGGAACAGAAGACACAUUCAGCUCUCUUACAGAUGAACAAUCUGCUAACAUAUAAAAUAUUAUGCACACAGAUUUAUAUUGUGGCAUGAAUUUUGAUGGCAUUAUGUGUUGACACGUUUGAUCGCCUGUCCUCAUCUGAUCAGAAUCAAAAAGGAUAAACAAGCACGGAGAAUGACUGCUUUUUUGUUCAAAUUAAAUGCUGCUCUAGGUGCCCCACGAGGCCCCGCUGUCUGUUUUUGCAAGAGGUAAAUGCCCCCCAUUCAGCAGCCCAGUUAAUGUUAAUAGACGUUAUUUAAACAACUGUUAAACAGCGGAUUAAGUUGGAUUUGGCUCAAGCAGGCUUGAGGGAGCGGUGUUUUCCCUCUGUGUAUGCUUACACACACACACAUACGUGCAGGGUGACACACUAUGCAGGUAGACAGGAGCUUAGGGUGUCAAAAAUCAGGAUGUGCUACAUUAGGUCACCCAAACAAGUAUUGAUAAAGCCCAGGGUUUUAGUUUCCACGUGGACCGUUGGAUCC
rnacentral:lncRNA from 1 species